rnacentral:rRNA from 1 species
AGAGUUGAUCCUGGCUCAGAACGAACGCUGGCGGCAUGCCUAAUACAUGCAAGUCGAACGGAGAUAGCAAUAUCUUAGUGGCGAACGGGUGCGUAACACGUGAGCAACCUGCCUUAUACAUCGGAAUAACAGCUGGAAACGGCUGCUAAUACCGGAUAAGACCACACCAAGGCAUCUUGGAGAGGUCAAAGCGAAUUAGCGGUAUAAGAUGGGCUCGCGUCCAAUUAGCUAGUUGGUGGGGUAACGGCCCACCAAGGCAACGAUUGGUAGCCGACUUGAGAGAGUGAUCGGCCACACUGGAACUGAGACACGGUCCAGACUCCUACGGGAGGCAGCAGUAGGGAAUAUUGGGCAAUGGAGGAAAACCUCUUACCCAGCAAUGCCGCGUGAAUGAUGAAGGUCUUAUGGAUUGUAAAGUUCUUUAAUUGGGGACGAAAGAAAUGACGGUACCCAAAGAAUAAGCCCCGGCUAACUACGUGCCAGCCGCUGC